GAGCUGCUGCCACAGCACCAGAGUGCCAACUAAGCCCCAGCAGGACCCCUCACAGAUACUGUGCUGGUUUUCCCUCUUAUUCAGUGUCUCAUGUGAAGGUGGGAGGAAAUUUGGGCUCCUGUGCAUUCAGUGCCUGCAUCUGCUGAGGACACAGCACAGCCCAGGUGCUGAGCAGCUGUCACAGGAUGCUGCAGGACAAGGCUCACAUGGCCUCGUGUGGAGUCAGCAUGGUCCCAUCACCUGUGGAUGGAGCUGGCUGCUGCCACCACUGAUGGGAAGAUUGGGGUCUGACAGCCAGGAGCUGGAGCAGACACAAUAGCUGUCUGGAUGGUUAAGUGGAUGCACUGAUGAUGCCACUGUGUUAACCAUGUGUUAAAGCAGAAGACUGCAUCUUGCCUGUAUCAGCACAAGUGAUUGGAUUUGAAAGACUAUCCAGGACCUUGUAUGAGCACAGCUGCAGGUGAAUCUGCA